rnacentral:rRNA from 1 species
UACGUAUGGAGCAAGCGUUAUCCGGAUUUACUGGGUGUAAAGGGAGCGCAGGCGGCCUUGCAAGUCUGAUGUGAAAGGCCGGGGCCCAACCCCGGGACUGCAUUGGAAACUGCGAGGCUGGAGUGUCGGAGAGGCAGGCGGAAUUCCUAGUGUAGCGGUGAAAUGCGUAGAUAUUAGGAGGAACACCAGUGGCGAAGGCGGCCUGCUGGACGAUGACUGACGCUGAGGCUCGAAAGCGUGGGGAGCAAACAGG